rnacentral:rRNA from 2 species
GAGCUUGCUCCAUGAUUCAGCGGCGGACGGGUGAGUAAUGCCUAGGAAUCUGCCUGGUAGUGGGGGACAACGUUUCGAAAGGAACGCUAAUACCGCAUACGUCCUACGGGAGAAAGCAGGGGACCUUCGGGCCUUGCGCUAUCAGAUGAGCCUAGGUCGGAUUAGCUAGUUGGUGAGGUAAUGGCUCACCAAGGCGACGAUCCGUAACUGGUCUGAGAGGAUGAUCAGUCACACUGGAACUGAGACACGGUCCAGACUCCUACGGGAGGCAGCAGUGGGGAAUAUUGGACAAUGGGCGAAAGCCUGAUCCAGCCAUGCCGCGUGUGUGAAGAAGGUCUUCGGAUUGUAAAGCACUUUAAGUUGGGAGGAAGGGCAUUAACCUAAUACGUUAGUGUUUUGACGUUACCGACAGAAUAAGCACCGGCUAACUUCGUGCCAGCAGCCGCGGUAAUACGAAGGGUGCAAGCGUUAAUCGGAAUUACUGGGCGUAAAGCGCGCGUAUGUGGUUUGUUAAGUUGAAUGUGAAAGCCCCGGGCUCAACCUGGGAACUGCAUCCAAAACUGGCAAGCUAGAGUAUGGCAGAGGGUGGUGGAAUUUCCUGUGUAGCGGUGAAAUGCGUAGAUAUAGGAAGGAACACCAGUGGCGAAAGCGACCACCUGGGGCUAAUACUGACA